AUGAAGCCUCUCAACGACCAAGACUCAAAAAGGUGUGGUGGACUGCCCCUCGCUGUUAUUACAAUAGGCGGCAUAUUAGCUAGUCGUCCAGGAAUAUUAAGGCAGGAUUGGGAGAGCAUAAGGAGUUACUUGGGAGUUCAAUCUGCCACAGACCUCACCAUGGAAGGAAUGAGGCGUAUAUUAAACCUUAGCUACAUGCAUCUUCCUGUUCAUCUUCGGGCAUGUUGCUUACGUCUUGGUAUGCAUCCAGAGGACUACGAGAUCAUGAGGGAUGAUCUUGUUCGACAAUGGAUAGCUGAAGGCCUUGUGCGCAGUUUACCUGGGCUAGAUUUGGAGGAUGUUGCAAGGAGUUAUUUCAAUGAGCUUAUCAACAGAAGCUUGAUUCAGCCUGAACGGACAGUCGCUGGGGAUGUGAUUUCUUGCAAAGUGCAUGAUGUGAUUCGUGAUGUUAUUAUAAGCAAAUGUCAAGAAGAAAAUUUCAUGAGUAUGGUAUACAAUUCUGAAGACAUGGCAAGAUUGCAUGAAUGCAAGCCCAAGGUCCGCCGAUUGUUCUUUUGCUCGAGUUCUAAUGAUGCCACAAAUGGUACAAUAUCAAGGGCUACUGGUCUGUCGAAGGUUAGAUCGAUUGUGUCAUUCGGAGGGUCCAAUUGA
rnacentral:rRNA from 1 species